rnacentral:rRNA from 1 species
GACGAACGCUGGCGGCGUGCUUAACACAUGCAAGUCGAACGGAAAGGCCCUGCUUUUGUGGGUUGCUCGAGUGGCGAACGGGUGAGUAACACGUGAGUAACCUGCCCUUGACUUUGGGAUAACUUCAGGAAACUGGGGCUAAUACCGGAUAGGAGCUCCUGCUGCAUGGUGGGGGUUGGAAAGUUUCGGCGGUUGGGGAUGGACUCGCGGCUUAUCAGCUUGUUGGUGGGGUAGUGGCUUACCAAGGCUUUGACGGGUAGCCGGCCUGAGAGGGUGACAGGCCACAUUGGGACUGAGAUACGGCCCAGACUCAUACGGGAGGCAGCAGUGGGGAAUAUUGCACAAUGGGCGGAAGCCUGAUGGAGCAACGCCGCGUGCGGGAUGACGGCCUUCGGGUUGUAAACCGCUUUCGCCUGUGACGAAGCGUGAGUGACGGUAAUGGGCAAAGAAGCACCGGCUAACUACGU